CUCUCUCUCUCUCUGUGUUUGUGUGUUUUUGUUUUUUUUUUCUUUUGAACUUCAAUAUUGAAACUAAUUUGAUGAUGUGCAUUGUGAAGGAGAAAAUGAAAUUGAUUAGUUAUGAAAGAUAAGAAAUUUUGCUGGAAUGAAUUGAGGAACAAGAAAUAACUUUGAAUCCCUAAAAAAAAAAAAAGCCAAAAUUAAGCAAUAUAACACCCAAACCAAACUUCAAUAGAAAAAAUAAAUUAUUUCUUUUUUGUAUUUUAUGAAUUAAGAUGCAAUAGCAAUAAAGGACAAAAAUUAAGAGGAUAACUAUGGAAUGUACGCUUUGAUAAGAGUAAUCUCACUAAAAAGAAUACAAUUCCAAUGAAGACACGACACAAGGAACUCUUGUGAUAAAUCAGAACUUCGCCAUAAACAAAUAAUGUUUAAUAAGAAAGAAGAAGCAAUACUUGCUAUUAUGAUUAAAACUCAUAAUACUUUGAGAUUACAAGAGUUGGCCUUUAUAUAGAUUGAUUACAAGCACUAUAAAGAAAAGAUAGUAAGGUUACUAAAUAGAAAAUUUGAAUAGUAUUCUAAACAAGGAAUAAUGUUGAACCUUUAAAAAAAAAAAUACUUCAGAAAUCUGUCCAUAUGGUGAUACACAAAUUUGAGAUUUGGUGACCUUUCAUCCUUAUUUCCUUCCUUAUUUGCAAGAUAUUACAAUCUUUUUUUGAUUUCUUUGGCUUGGUCAAUUUCAAACAGAAAAUGGGGGUAUUUUACAUAUAUAUGGGCUUAUUUUCUUAAUAUUCAGCCUAUUAUUUUUAUUUUAACUUAAGCCCAAAUAUUUUAACAUGCUCCAACACAUGUCGCAUGGACUUGCCAAGUUCAGCACAACUUCUUAAUUCUGAAUAGAAGCAAACAAAGUGAUAAGUUUGCUUUUGGACCUAGUCAAUAGACCCUCGUAUGCCAUGUCACUUUGUGGCACAUCGCUUGACCAGUUCAUUUCUGUGUUUCUUCAAGUGUAUUUCUCCUUUUUGAUUGGCUUCCGUUCAAUAAAGUUUUUUUAUUUCAAGUCAUUAGCUUUGAAAUUGAUCUUUCUUAGCUAAAGAAAUACACAAGGAGAAUGCUUAAAAUUGGAGUUUAUCCUAGUUUCGUUUAUUUAUUUUUAUUUAUUUUUUAAUUAUUGAAUUAAGUUUUUAUGAAAUUUAAAGUAAAAGAUAGUUUCAACUUGUUCAAGUUGAAAUGUUGAAAAUAAGAUGUCAUAUGAGUUCAAGCUUUUCUUAACCCCCUCCAAGAAACAAUAUCACAAUAUUUAUAUAUAUUCUACAAUAUAAGGUAUUUAAUAACAUUUUAUUAAUUUUUAUUCAAAUGAUGUUUGUGUAGGGUUCUAAUCCUUGGCGAUUAGGUUGUUAACGCUAGAUCAAUACUUUGCAAAUUGUUGACUUUUGUCAAUUAAAUAAGUAAUGCUAAUUGAUUGAUUUUGUUAUGAAUAUUAUAUCUUAAUUUUGAAAUUUCUUCAAAUUUUACUUUUUUAAAUCUUACCUCUUUCAAGCUCAUGCCUAGGCUCAAAGAUUUCUUUGCGCCUUUUGCCUUUAAUAACUAUGCAUAUUAAAAAUGAGGUCCGGUGAGCUUUUAGUAAGCUUUGAGUAGCUCAUCAGCCACUUGGCAUAUUUGAGGCUUUGGGAAUUAUUUAUUUAACUUUUUGAGGGUUUAGUGACAUCUGGUGUAAUUAAAUACAGUGCUAAAUUUGUGCAACUUUAAUUUAUUGGUUUGAUACAUAAGCCCAAGGGACGGUACAUAUUUAUGCUCGAGUUAACAACCAAAACUAGUGUUCUAAGGUUUUGUACUUGAGGUGAUAAUGACGGAAUUUCUUGCCCCAACCAUAAGAUGUAUGUUGCAUUUCGUCCUCACUCAUUAAUCGCUUACAACUAAAUAUUUAGAGUAGAUAGCUGUGUUUCUAUUGUUUUUUGGAAAAUUUCUCCCCCUUUUUGUAUAAUUUGUUUGGUUUUCCUACUAAACUGUGAUUGGGAAGUAAUUUUGGAUAGUUGGUGUGAUACAUAAUCAUUAGCAAUUUGUUUAUGUAUUAUUCCUUUCUCCUGUUUCCUAUCUCUUCCCAUUAAAAUUCUAUGCAAGAAUUUUUGAAAAUUCUAAAAUGCAAGUGGCUUUUGUAGGUUAUUUUAAAGAUUUGAUGUCUUUACCAAUAAUUUUCAUUGUGGACUCGGUUAUAUAUAGACUAUUUUUGGACAUUUGCAUUUCUUCUUCAUUGACUUUUUUUGUCAACUUUGCAGCUGAUAUUAUGCGGAAAAAUCAAGAGCAGAUUUCUGGGCAAAGGAAAACGUUAUAAAAGCUGGAACAGUCUAUGUAAACUUAUAAACAGUUUAAGAUUGUUAUUAAGCAUGGCAGUCUUUAUCAUACAUACGCAUUUAUGUCUGAGUUAUAUAAUUUGUAUAGAUUGAUAUAUUUGUUUCGAUGCUUUCUUUUUAUUUUUGUUUUUGUUAGCUGGUUUGUUUAUUAUUGUGAGAGUUUUCUCUGAAAAUCCAAGGCUGCGGAUCCUUAAGAGAGGCUAUGAAAACGGCUGACGGUUACAAAGGCUAGCUUUUCUGUCGAGCAACAUCAUGUUGGUUCAGAGCCAGGCGUAAUAAUUGCGGAAGGAAACAAUUGUUCGCGUUAGGCCUGGGGUUGGUUGGUUGGAUUAGGGUUGUGAUGCAGUAUUGUUGAUUGGAUCGGUAAAAUUUUAUGUGGGAACUGGAUAAUGAAAUUAGCAAACGACAAUAAUAGAGAUAGUAAUUAGAUACAUCUAUUAUAUAUCAUCAAAUAAUGUUGGAAAUUAAGUGCAUAUUGCAGUUUACUUUUCUUCAAUGUGUGCUUCUUUUAGCCAAGUAGGGGUGCGUUCGAUUGAUUAUUGUACAUGUUUUUUGUUAGGG
rnacentral:misc_RNA from 1 species